UACGGAGGGGGCAAGCGUUGUUCGGAAUUACUGGGCGUAAAGGGCGCGUAGGCGGCCUUCUAAGUCGGAUGUGAAAUCCCCAGGCUUAACCUGGGAACUGCAUCCGAUACUGGAUGGCUUGAAUCCGGGAGAGGGAUGCGGAAUUCCAGGUGUAGCGGUGAAAUGCGUAGAUAUCUGGAGGAACACCGGUGGCGAAGGCGGCAUCCUGGACCGGCAUUGACGCUGAGGAGCGAAAGCCAGGGGAGCAAACGGG
rnacentral:rRNA from 1 species